UACGUAGGGUGCGAGCGUUAAUCGGAAUUACUGGGCGUAAAGCGUGCGCAGGCGGUUCGUUGUGUCGGCGGUGAAAGCCCCGGGCUUAACCUGGGAAUGGCCGUCGAAACUGGCGAACUGGAGUGUGGCAGAGGGGGGUGGAAUUCCGCGUGUAGCAGUGAAAUGCGUAGAGAUGCGGAGGAACACCGAUGGCGAAGGCAGCCCCCUGGGCUGACACUGACGCUCGGGCACGAAAGCGUGGGGAGCAAACAGG
rnacentral:rRNA from 1 species